rnacentral:rRNA from 1 species
CAAUUUAAACAACGAAGAGUUUGAUCCUGGCUCAGGAUGAACGCUAGCGACAGGCUUAACACAUGCAAGUCGAGGGGCAGCACAGGUAGCAAUACCGGGUGGCGACCGGCGCACGGGUGAGUAACGCGUAUGCAACUUACCUAUCAGAGGGGGAUAACCCGGCGAAAGUCGGACUAAUACCGCAUGAAGCAGGGGUCCCGCAUGGGGAUAUUUGCUAAAGAUUCAUCGCUGAUAGAUAGGCAUGCGUUCCAUUAGGCAGUUGGCGGGGUAACGGCCCACCAAACCGACGAUGGAUAGGGGUUCUGAGAGGAAGGUCCCCCACAUUGGUACUGAGACACGGACCAAACUCCUACGGNCCGCCGGCGACCGGCGCACGGGUGAGUAACGCGUAUGCAACUUGCCUAUCAGAGGGGGAUAACCCGGCGAAAGUCGGACUAAUACCGCAUGAAGCAGGGGCCCCGCAUGGGGAUAUUUGCUAAAGAUUCAUCGCUGAUAGAUAGGCAUGCGUUCCAUUAGGCAGUUGGCGGGGUAACGGCCCACCAAACCGACGAUGGAUAGGGGUUCUGAGAGGAAGGUCCCCCACAUUGGUACUGAGACACGGACCAAACUCCUACGGGAGGCAGCAGUGAGGAAUAUUGGUCAAUGGGCGUAAGCCUGAACCAGCCAAGUCGCGUGAGGGAUGAAGGUUCUAUGGAUCGUAAACCUCUUUUAUAAGGGAAUAAAGUGCGGGACGUGUCCCGUUUUGUAUGUACCUUAUGAAUAAGGAUCGGCUAACUCCGUGCCAGCAGCCGCGGUAAUACGGAGGAUUCGAGCGUUAUCCGGAUUUAUUGGGUUUAAAGGGUGCGUAGGCGGCCUUUUAAGUCAGCGGUGAAAGUCUGUGGCUCAACCAUAGAAUUGCCGUUGAAACUGGGGGGCUUGAGUAUGUUUGAGGCAGGCGGAAUGCGUGGUGUAGCGGUGAAAUGCUUAGAUAUCACGCAGAACCCCGAUUGCGAAGGCAGCCUGCCAAGCCAUGACUGACGCUGAUGCACGAAAGCGUGGGGAUCAAACAGGAUUAGAUACCCUGGUAGUCCACGCAGUAAACGAUGAUCACUAGCUGUUUGCGAUACAGUGUAAGCGGCACAGCGAAAGCGUUAAGUGAUCCACCUGGGGAGUACGCCGGCAACGGUGAAACUCAAAGGAAUUGACGGGGGCCCGCACAAGCGGAGGAACAUGUGGUUUAAUUCGAUGAUACGCGAGGAACCUUACCCGGGUUUGAACGCAUUCGGACCGAGGUGGAAACACCUUUUCUAGCAAUAGCCGUUUGCGAGGUGCUGCAUGGUUGUCGUCAGCUCGUGCCGUGAGGUGUCGGCUUAAGUGCCAUAACGAGCGCAACCCUUGCCACUAGUUACUAACAGGUGAUGCUGAGGACUCUGGUGGGACUGCCAGCGUAAGCUGCGAGGAAGGCGGGGAUGACGUCAAAUCAGCACGGCCCUUACAUCCGGGGCGACACACGUGUUACAAUGGCGUGGACAAAGGGAAGCCACCUGGCGACAGGGAGCGAAUCCCCAAACCACGUCUCAGUUCGGAUCGGAGUCUGCAACCCGACUCCGUGAAGCUGGAUUCGCUAGUAAUCGCGCAUCAGCCAUGGCGCGGUGAAUACGUUCCCGGGCCUUGUACACACCGCCCGUCAAGCCAUGGGAGCCGGGGGUACCUGAAGUCCGUAACCGCGAGGAUCGGCCUAGGGUAAAACUGGUGACUGGGGCUAAGUCGUAACAAGGUAGCCGUACCGGAAGGUGCGGCUGGAACACCUCCUUUCU